rnacentral:rRNA from 6 species
UUUGGUUAAGUUAGAAAGGGCGCACGGUGGAUGCCUUGACACUAGGAGUCGAUGAAGGACGGGACUAACGCCGAUAUGCUUCGGGGAGCUGUAAGUAAGCUUUGAUCCGAAGAUUUCCGAAUGGGGAAACCCACCAUACGUAAUGGUAUGGUAUCCUUAUCUGAAUACAUAGGAUAAGGAAGACAGACCCAGGGAACUGAAACAUCUAAGUACCUGGAGGAAGAGAAAGCAAAUGCGAUUUCCUGAGUAGCGGCGAGCGAAACGGAACAUAGCCCAAACCAAGAGGCUUGCCUCUUGGGGUUGUAGGACAUUCUAUACGGAGUUACAAAGGAACGAGGUAGACGAAGCGACCUGGAAAGGUCCGUCGUAGAGGGUAACAACCCCGUAGUCGAAACUUCGUUCUCUCUUGAAUGUAUCCUGAGUACGGCGGAACACGUGAAAUUCCGUCGGAAUCUGGGAGGACCAUCUCCCAAGGCUAAAUACUCCCUAGUGAUCGAUAGUGAACCAGUACCGUGAGGGAAAGGUGAAAAGCACCCCGGAAGGGGAGUGAAAGAGAUCCUGAAACCGUGUGCCUACAAAUAGUCAGAGCCCGUUAACGGGUGAUGGCGUGCCUUUUGUAGAAUGAACCGGCGAGUUACGAUCCCGUGCGAGGUUAAGCUGAAGAGGCGGAGCCGCAGCGAAAGCGAGUCUGAAUAGGGCGUUUAGUACGUGGUCGUAGACCCGAAACCAGGUGAUCUACCCAUGUCCAGGGUGAAGUUCAGGUAACACUGAAUGGAGGCCCGAACCCACGCACGUUGAAAAGUGCGGGGAUGAGGUGUGGGUAGCGGAGAAAUUCCAAUCGAACCUGGAGAUAGCUGGUUCUCCCCGAAAUAGCUUUAGGGCUAGCCUUAAGUGUAAGAGUCUUGGAGGUAGAGCACUGAUUGGACUAGGGGUCCUCAUCGGAUUACCGAAUUCAGUCAAACUCCGAAUGCCAAUGACUUAUCCUUAGGAGUCAGACUGCGAGUGAUAAGAUCCGUAGUCAAAAGGGAAACAGCCCAGACCGCCAGCUAAGGUCCCAAAGUGUGUAUUAAGUGGAAAAGGAUGUGGAGUUGCUUAGACAACUAGGAUGUUGGCUUAGAAGCAGCCACCAUUUAAAGAGUGCGUAAUAGCUCACUAGUCGAGUGACUCUGCGCCGAAAAUGUACCGGGGCUAAAUACACCACCGAAGCUGCGGAUUGAUACCAAUGGUAUCAGUGGUAGGGGAGCGUUCUAAGGACAGUGAAGUCAGACCGGAAGGACUGGUGGAGUGCUUAGAAGUGAGAAUGCCGGUAUGAGUAGCGAAAGACGGGUGAGAAUCCCGUCCACCGAAUGCCUAAGGUUUCCUGAGGAAGGCUCGUCCGCUCAGGGUUAGUCAGGACCUAAGCCGAGGCCGACAGGCGUAGGCGAUGGACAACAGGUUGAUAUUCCUGUACCACCUCUUUAUCGUUUGAGCAAUGGAGGGACGCAGAAGGAUAGAAGAAGCGUGCGAUUGGUUGUGCACGUCCAAGCAGUUAGGCUGAUAAGUAGGCAAAUCCGCUUAUCGUGAAGGCUGAGCUGUGAUGGGGAAGCUCCUUAUGGAGCGAAGUCUUUGAUUCCCCGCUGCCAAGAAAAGCUUCUAGCGAGAUAAAAGGUGCCUGUACCGCAAACCGACACAGGUAGGCGAGGAGAGAAUCCUAAGGUGUGCGAGAGAACUCUGGUUAAGGAACUCGGCAAAAUGACCCCGUAACUUCGGGAGAAGGGGUGCUUUCUUAACGGAAAGCCGCAGUGAAUAGGCCCAAGCGACUGUUUAGCAAAAACACAGCUCUCUGCGAAGCCGUAAGGCGAAGUAUAGGGGGUGACACCUGCCCGGUGCUGGAAGGUUAAGGAGAGGGGUUAGCGUAAGCGAAGCUCUGAACUGAAGCCCCAGUAAACGGCGGCCGUAACUAUAACGGUCCUAAGGUAGCGAAAUUCCUUGUCGGGUAAGUUCCGACCCGCACGAAAGGUGUAACGAUUUGGGCACUGUCUCAACCAGAGACUCGGUGAAAUUAUAGUACCUGUGAAGAUGCAGGUUACCCGCGACAGGACGGAAAGACCCCGUGGAGCUUUACUGUAGCCUGAUAUUGAAUUUUGGUACAGUUUGUACAGGAUAGGCGGGAGCCUUUGAAACCGGAGCGCUAGCUUCGGUGGAGGCGCUGGUGGGAUACCGCCCUGACUGUAUUGAAAUUCUAACCUACGGGUCUUAUCGACCCGGGAGACAGUGUCAGGUGGGCAGUUUGACUGGGGCGGUCGCCUCCUAAAGUGUAACGGAGGCGCCCAAAGGUUCCCUCAGAAUGGUUGGAAAUCAUUCGUAGAGUGCAAAGGCAUAAGGGAGCUUGACUGCGAGACCUACAAGUCGAGCAGGGACGAAAGUCGGGCUUAGUGAUCCGGUGGUUCCGCAUGGAAGGGCCAUCGCUCAACGGAUAAAAGCUACCCCGGGGAUAACAGGCUUAUCUCCCCCAAGAGUCCACAUCGACGGGGAGGUUUGGCACCUCGAUGUCGGCUCAUCGCAUCCUGGGGCUGUAGUCGGUCCCAAGGGUUGGGCUGUUCGCCCAUUAAAGCGGUACGCGAGCUGGGUUCAGAACGUCGUGAGACAGUUCGGUCCCUAUCCGUCGUGGGCGUAGGAAAUUUGAGAGGAGCUGUCCUUAGUACGAGAGGACCGGGAUGGACGCACCGCUGGUGUACCAGUUGUUCUGCCAAGGGCAUAGCUGGGUAGCUAUGUGCGGAAGGGAUAAGUGCUGAAAGCAUCUAAGCAUGAAGCCCCCCUCAAGAUGAGAUUUCCCAUAGCGUAAGCUAGUAAGAUCCCUGAAAGAUGAUCAGGUUGAUAGGUUCGAGGUGGAAGCAUGGUGACAUGUGGAGCUGACGAAUACUAAUAGAUCGAGGACUUAACCAUAUAA